rnacentral:rRNA from 1 species
UACGAGAGGUGCAAGCGUUAUUCGGAAUUAUUGGGCGUAAAGGGUGCGUAGGCGGUUUAUUAAGUUUGUUGUUAAAGACUUUGGCUUAACCAAAGAAAGGCAAUGAAUACUGGUAAACUAGAGGGUGAAAGAGAGAAGUGGAAUUCCCGGAGUAGCGGUAAAAUGCGUAGAUCUCGGGAGGAACACCAAUGGCGAAGGCUGCUUCUUGGUUCACUACUGACGCUGAGGCACGAAAGCGUGGGGAGCAAACAGG